rnacentral:rRNA from 1 species
CGCGGUAACCUUGACCGUGCAAAGGUAGCAUAAUCGUUUGCCUUUUAAUUGAAGGCUUGUAUGAAUGGUUUGACAAGAGUAAAGCUGUCUCUAGAAUAGAAAUUGAAUUUUACUUUUAUGUGAGAAGGCUUAAAUAAAAUGAAGAGAAGAUAAGACCCUAUAAAGCUUAAAUAGAUUGAGGUUUGAGCAUAAUUUGAAAACUAAAGUCUAAGUUGAAAAUCUAUUUUGUUGGGGCGACAAUAAUAUAAAAAUAAAUAACUGUUAAAACAAAAAAAUAUUAUGGAUAAAGAAGAAAAUGAUCCUUUAAUAAGGAUUAAAAGAAAAGUUACUUUAGGGAUAACAGCGUAAUUUUCCUUGAGAGUUCUUAUCGACAGGAGUAGUUGCGACCUCGAUGUUGAAUUAACAAAACUUUAUGGGGCA